GAUGAAGAACGCAGCGAAAUGCGAUAAGUAAUGUGAAUUGCAGAAUUCAGCGAAUCAUCGAGUCUUUGAACGCACAUUGCGCCCCCUGGUAUUCCGGGGGGCAUGCCUGUCCGAGCGUCAUUGCUGCCCUCAAGCACGGCUUGUGUGUUGGGCUCCGCCCCCCUCCCGGGGGGCGGGCCCGAAAGGCAGCGGCGGCACCGCGUCCGGUCCUCGAGCGUAUGGGGCUUUGUCACCCGCUCUGUAGGCCCGGCCGGCGCCCGCCGGCGACCCCAAUCAAUCUUUCCAGGUUGACCUCGGAUCAGGUAGGGAUACCCGCUGAACUUAAGCAUAUCAAUAAGCGGAGGA
rnacentral:misc_RNA from 1 species